AGAGAUGUGUGAUGACGCAUAUCAAUAAGCGGAGGAAAAGAAACUAACUAAGGAUUCCCCUCAGUAACGGCGAGUGAAGCGGGAAGAGCUCAAAUUUGAAAUCUUCAAGGGUUCUACCUUUACGAAUUGUAGUUUAAAGAAGUGUUUUUCUGUUGGAGUUUUCGGUAAAAGUUCUUUGGAAUAGGACAUCAUAGAGGGUGAGAAUCCCGUAUUUGACCAUUAUUUCCAACUUUGUGAUACACUUUCAAAGAGUCGGAUUGUUUGGGAAUGCAGUCCAAAAUGGGUGGUAAAUUUCAUCUAAAGCUAAAUAUUGGCGAGAGGCCGAUAGCGAACAAGUACCGUGAGGGAAAGAUGAAAAGAACUUUGAAAAGAGAGUUAAACAGUACGUGAAAUUGUCAAAAGGGAAGCGUUUGACACCAGUGUUGUUUUCUCGAAAAUCAAUUAAAAAUGGUGGGAUUUUGUGUAGUAUUGACUUUAUCAGCUUGCUGCGCUCUUUUUCCUAUCUUUUUUAAUGCACUUUUCGUUUAACAAGUCAACAUCAAUUUCUUUUGUUGUAAAAGGGUCAUUGGAAGGUGGCUUUCUUUUCGGAGAAAGUGUUUAUAGCCUUUGGCCUCUGCAAUCGGAGAGAUUGAGGUCUGCAGCGUAGAUCCUUCGGGGUUAGAUACAUUUGUGCUAAGUUAUAGCCUUUCAUAGACAACUUGUUGACUAUGAUCAGUCAUGUAGCUUACUCGCUUAUGUCAUUUUACCUACGCUUAGGAUGUUGAAGAUGUAGCACAUCAU
rnacentral:rRNA from 1 species